AGGGUUUGAUCCUGGCUCAGAACGAACGCUGGCGGCACGCCUAACACAUGCAAGUCGAGCGCUUCCCUUCGGGGAGGAGCGGCGGACGGGUUAGUAACGCGUGGGAACAUACCCUUUACUAAGGAAUAGCCUCUGGAAACGGAGAGUAAUACCUUAUACGCCCUUCGGGGGAAAGAUUUAUCGGUGAAGGAUUGGCCCGCGUUAGAUUAGAUAGUUGGUGGGGUAAUGGCCUACCAAGUCUACGAUCUAUAGCUGGUUUGAGAGGAUGAUCAGCAACACUGGGACUGAGACACGGCCCAGACUCCUACGGGAGGCAGCAGUGGGGAAUCUUAGACAAUGGGCGCAAGCCUGAUCUAGCGAUGCCGCGUGAGUGACGAAGGCCUUAGGGUCGUAAAGCUCUUUCACCAGGGAUGAUAAUGACAGUACCUGGAAAAGAAACCCCGGCUAACUCCGUGCCAGCAGCCGCGGUAAUACGGAGGGGGUUAGCGUUGUUCGGAAUUACUGGGCGUAAAGCGCACGUAGGCGGAUUAGUAAGUUAGAGGUGAAAUCCCAGGGCUCAACCCUGGAACUGCCUUUAAUACUGCUAGUCUUGAGUUCGAGAGAGGUAAGUGGAAUUCCGAGUGUAGAGGUGAAAUUCGUAGAUAUUCGGAGGAACACCAGUGGCGAAGGCGACUUACUGGCUCGAUACUGACGCUGAGGUGCGAAAGCGUGGGGAGCAAA
rnacentral:rRNA from 1 species